rnacentral:rRNA from 1 species
ACUCCUACGGGAGGCAGCAGUGGGGAAUAUUGCACAAUGGGCGCAAGCCUGAUGCAGCCAUGCCGCGUGUAUGAAGAAGGCCUUCGGGUUGUAAAGCACUUUCAGUCGUGAGGAAGGUAGCGUAGUUAAUAGCUGCAUUAUUUGACGUUAGCGACAGAAGAAGCACCGGCUAACUCCGUGCCAGCAGCCGCGGUAAUACGGAGGGUGCGAGCGUUAAUCGGAAUUACUGGGCGUAAAGCGCAUGCAGGUGGUUUGUUAAGUCAGAUGUGAAAGCCCGGGGCUCAACCUCGGAAUUGCAUUUGAAACUGGCAGACUAGAGUACUGUAGAGGGGGGUAGAAUUUCAGGUGUAGCGGUGAAAUGCGUAGAGAUCUGAAGGAAUACCGGUGGCGAAGGCGGCCCCCUGGACAGAUACUGACACUCAGAUGCGAAAGCGUGGGGAGCAAACAGGAUUAGAUACCCUGGUAGCUCGAUGU